rnacentral:lncRNA from 1 species
AGGGGAUCUGCUGGGUUCUCAUCCGAUGAUACCCUCUUUGCCACGAGGAGUCCUUCUUCGAUCCGAUGUCUGAUGAAAUGGUAUUUUCUGUCGAUGUGUCUGGAUCUCCCGUGAUCCCUUGGUUCCUUGGCUAAGGCAACAACACUUUCACUAUCACAGAAAAUUUCCAUUGGCUCCUUUAUAGCUGGUACAACUCCAAGGUCUCCAAUGAAGUUAUUCAGCCAUAUCACCUCCUUUGCCGCCUCGCUAGCUGCAAUAUACUCUGAUUCACAAGUUGAAUCAACCACUGUCUCUUCAUUGGAACUCUUCCAAGAAAUUGCUCCUCCACUUAGGGUAAAGACCCAGCCCGACUGAGAGCGGAAAUUAUCCCUAUCAGUCUGGAAGCUAGCAUCACUAUACCCUACAACUCUCAAGUCAUCACUCCCACCGAGGAUAAGGACCCAGUCCUUAGUCCUCCGUAGGUACUUGUGGAUAUUCGUUACCGCAGUCCAGUGUGCCUUGCCAGGGUUCGCCUGAUACCUGCUAACCAUGCUCAAGGCAAAAGCUACAUCGGGUCGAGUACACGUCAUAGCAUACAUGAUCGAUCCUACAGCCGAAGCGUAAGGUGUUCGACUCAUUUCUGCNGACCCAGUCCUUAGUCCUCCGUAGGUACUUGAGGAUAUUCUUUACCGCAGUCCAGUG